GACGAACCACACGAGCGUUAUUCGGAAUUACUGGGCUUAAAGGGUGCGUAGGCUGCGCAGAAAGUUGGGUGUGAAAUCCCUCGGCUUAACCGGGGAACUGCGCCCAAAACUACUGUGCUCGAGGGAGACAGAGGUGAGCGGAACUUAGGGUGGAGCGGUGAAAUGCGUUGAUAUCCUAAGGAACACCCGUGGCGAAAGCGGCUCACUGGGUCUCUUCUGACGCUGAUGCACGAAAGCUAGGGGAGCGAACGGG
rnacentral:rRNA from 1 species